rnacentral:rRNA from 11 species
GAGAGUAGGUUUAAAUAUCCCAAAGGCACAAUAUCCCAUCUGAUCUUAGAAGCUUAACAGGGUCAGCCCUAGUUUGUACUUGGAUGGGAGACCCCCAAUGAAUAUGAGGUCCAGUUGACC